rnacentral:rRNA from 1 species
GAUGAACGCCGGCGGCGUGCCUAAUACAUGCAAGUCGAGCGAAUGGAUUAAGAGCUUGCUCUUAUGAAGUUAGCGGCGGACGGGUGAGUAACACGUGGGUAACCUGCCCAUAAGACUGGGAUAACUCCGGGAAACCGGGGCUAAUACCGGAUAACAUUUUGAACCGCAUGGUUCGAAAUUGAAAGGCGGCUUCGGCUGUCACUUAUGGAUGGACCCGCGUCGCAUUAGCUAGUUGGUGAGGUAACGGCUCACCAAGGCAACGAUGCGUAGCCGACCUGAGAGGGGGAGCGGCCACACUGGGACUGAGGCACGGCCCAGACUCCUACGGGAGGCAGCAGUAGGGAAUCGUCCGCAAUGGACGAAAGUCUGACGGAGCAACGCCGCGUGAGUGAUGAAGGCUUUCGGGUCGUAAAACUCUGUUGUUAGGGAAGAACAAGUGCUAGUUGAAUAAGCUGGCACCUUGACGGUACCUAACCAGAAAGCCACGGCUAACUACGUGCCAGCCGCCGCCGUAA